rnacentral:rRNA from 1 species
GACGAACGCUGGCGGCGUGCUUAACACAUGCAAGUCGAACGGCAAGGCCCUGCUUUUUUGGGGUUCUCGAGUGGCGAUCGGGUGAGUAACACGUGAGUAACCUGCUCUUGAUUUUGGGAUAACUUCAGGAAACUGGGGCUACUAUCGUAUAGGAGCUCCUGCUGCAGGGUGGGGGUUGGAAAGUUUGGGCUGUUGGGGAUGGACUCGCGGCUUAUCAGCUUGUUGGUGGGGUAGUGGCUUACCAAGGCUUUGACGGGUAGCCGGCAUGAGAGGGUGGACGGGGACCAUGGGACUAAGAUACGGAGCAGACUCGUACGGGAGGCAGCAGUGGGGAAUAUUGCCCAAUGGGAGGAAGCCUGAUGCAGCAGCGCCGCGUGCGGGAUGACGUCCUUCGGGUUGUAAACAGCUUUCGCCUGUGACGAAGCGUGAGUGACGGUAAUGGGUAAAGAAGCACCGGCUAACUACGUG